rfam:Ipomoea nil DNA, scaffold: scaffold3245, cultivar: Tokyo-kokei standard.
GGGGAUGUAGCUCAUAUGGUAGAGCGCUCGCUUCGCAUGUGAGAGGUACAGGGAUUGAAACCCCGCAUCUCCA